rnacentral:rRNA from 1 species
UACGAAGGGGGCUAGCGUUGCUCGGAAUCACUUGGCGUAAAGCGCACGUAGGCGGAUUGUUAAGUCGGGGGUGAAAUCCUGGAGCUCAACUCCAGAACUGCCUUUGAUACUGGCGAUCUUGAGUCCGGGAGAGGUGAGUGGAACUCCGAGUGUAGAGGUGAAAUUCGUAGAUAUUCGGAAGAACACCAGUGGCGAAGGCGGCUCACUGGCCCGAUACUGACGCUGAGGUACGAAAGCGUGGGGAGCAAACAGG